CCUACGGGGGGCAGCAGUGAGGAAUAUUGGUCAAUGGACGCAAGCCUGAACCAGCCAAGUAGCGUGCAGGAAGACGGCCCUAUGGGUUGUAAACUUCUUUUGUAAGGGAGUAAAGGCAGAAACGCGUGCCUGUUUGUAUGUAUCUUAGGAAUAAGGAUCGGCUAACUCCGGGCCAGCAGCCGCGGUAAUACGGAGGAUCCGAGCGUUAUCCGGAUUUAUUGGGUUUAAGGGGAGCGUAGGUGGGUGGUUAAGUCAGUUGUGAAAGUUUGAGGCUCAACCGUGAAAUUGCAAUUGAUACUGGCCGGCUUGAGAGUAGUUGAGGUAGGCGGAAUGUGUGGUGUAGCGGUGAAAUGCUUAGAGAUCACGAAGAACUCCGAUUGCGAAGGCAGCUUACUAAGCUGCCACUGACAUUGAUGCUCGAAAGUGUGGGUAUCAAACAGGAUUAGAUACCCUAGUAGUC
rnacentral:rRNA from 1 species